rnacentral:rRNA from 1 species
UACGGAGGAUCCGAGCGUUAUCCGGAAUUAUUGGGUUUAAAGGGUGCGUAGGCGGCCAUUUAAGUCAGCUGUGAAAUUUUGCAGCUUAACUGUAACAGUGCCGUUGAUACUGUUUGGCUAGGAUUUGGUUGUAGUGUGCGGAAUGUGUGGUGUAGCGGUGAAAUGCUUAGAUAUCACACAGAACACCGAUUGCGAAGGCAGCACACUAAGUCAUUAUUGACGCUGAGGCACGAAAGUGUGGGGAGUCAAACAGGAUUA